GAACUUAGCAGAGAUGCUUUGGUGCCUUCGGGAACUCUGAGACAGGUGCUGCAUGGCUGUCGUCAGCUCGUGUUGUGAAAUGUUGGGUUAAGUCCCGCAACGAGCGCAACCCUUAUCCUUUGUUGCCAGCGGCUCGGCCGGGAACUCAAAGGAGACUGCCGGUGAUAAACCGGAGGAAGGUGGGGAUGACGUCAAGUCAUCAUGGCCCUUACGGCCAGGGCUACACACGUGCUACAAUGGCGCAUACAAAGAGAAGCGACCUCGCGAGAGCAAGCGGACCUCAUAAAGUGCGUCGUAGUCCGGAUUGGAGUCUGCAACUCGACUCCAUGAAGUCGGAAUCGCUAGUAAUCGUAGAUCAGAAUGCUACGGUGAAUACGUUCCCGGGCCUUGUACACACCGCCCGUCACACCAUGGGAGUGGGUUGCAAAAGAAGUAGGUAGCUUAACCUUCGGGAGGGCGCUUACCACUUUGUGAUUCAUGACUGGGGUGAAGUCGUAACAAGGUAGGCGUAGCGAG
rnacentral:rRNA from 1 species